GGUCUUGUAGCUCAGGUGGUAGAGCACACGCGGUACUAAAGCGUAGGUGGCCACCAUGGAUUGGAAUCCCAUCCAAAUCA
rnacentral:tRNA from 1 species